rnacentral:tRNA from 1 species
GGAGGGGUGGCAGAGUGGUCGAUUGCGGCGGUCUUGAAAACCGCUGUGCCCGCGAGGGCACCGGGGGUUCGAAUCCCUCCCCCUCCGCCA